GGGGUGGGGACAGAUGCGUUCUUCCGAGAGAAGCGUUUUGGUUUCGUUUUGACUUUCUCUUGUGCCAGACUCCCUAACCGACUAGACGAGCUAGAGUCCACCGCCUCUAAUUUUUCUAGAUCUCCCUGAUCCCUCGCUUCUGCUCCGACGCGCCCAUCAUUUUCUAUCCUCGCCGCCGUCCUCUUACUUCCCGGCGACGUGCUCAUCACCAGCUUGCACACCUCCACCUUCUAUGGUCACCUUUUGUCUGACUUACCUCCAGACAAAGGGAAUUUGCAUCCACCUUCGGCGUCCCCAACAUCGGCGGUGUCCAAGAAGAACCCCUCUGCCAAUCGCUGAGAGAACCCCUCCCAGAAGAUGGCAAGACGCGGGUGGAAGAGGUCGGUGCACGAGCGCCUCCACAAGAUUAGUUGAGUGGAGAAUAGGCAGCGACACACACCAGGGAUUCGUCUCGGUCGUUUCCCCCCAUCUUGGCCGGUUCAUAUCUUUCUCCGGUAAGUAUCCUCCGCAUACCUUCCUGCAAGCAGCUGGGUGUGCGUGGGGCUUAUCCUACGCAAAUCUUUGCACCAUAGUGUUUCCUAUUCCAGGAAACGAUUCUUUUUAGAUUGGGGAGUGAUACUGCGAAUAACAAGAGCGAGAAACCCUGUGAACGAUUCUUGUUUAGGUUUGGAGCGCUACCGCAAAUAACAAGAGCGAGAACGCGUUGGUGCGGGGUGGGGAUUAGAUCUUGAAUUGGGGAUUUGCUGACGUUUUCAAAGGCUUCAAAAAUUUCCAAUCAAUCGGCAGAGCCAAUAAUGAUUAAGAUGCCAUUGUGUAUUUUUUUUAAACAACAGUGUUUUCUUUCUUAGGUGAAGUGUAUUUUUAAGGAAAAUAAUAUUGAAAUAGGUUUUUAUAUUUGGGCGUCAAUGGCAUUCUAAAUUGUUUGAUCCCAUAAGGCAUUCUAAAUCCACGGAAUCCAUUCUAUUCUAUGGCAUGUCUUACUAUGCUUCGUUGUCUCUGAACUUUGCCAUUUGGUCAUGUAAUCUCCAAGUUCAAAAGAACUCCGUUGACCAGAUGUGGUUUCUGUUUAAUAUGUCCAUGGGAAUUUCUGAGUGUCUGAUCCAUUUGGUAGCAGCCUACUCUGAGGUCUGCGGGUGCCGGACUGCCGGUGCAUAAAAUUCUUUUAUAGGGUUGCAUCAAUGGUAGUAGCGGCACUUGCACUUGUUAAUCUGAGGCAUGUUCUCUCUUAAUAAAUAGAAUUAGGAACCUUUUGUCUCCGUUUUGAGAAACUCUAGGAUUGUUUUGUGUCGGCACAAAUUGUUCCUGCAUAAUUGUCCUAGGCUUAAGUUUGGAUCUUUUUACCCGCCCUUACAGCGACCUUUCUCUCCUUUCCUCCAAUGACAAGAUCGAUGCAUUGCCGAAGUCCUAUUCAGACAUCAACACCCCAAAAGAAAGUUCCGAAGUUAAGUCAACCAGCGAUCAACAUUGAAAUUUCCAUUCAACGAUUAAUAGCUAGAAUUAGGAUUCUUGAUCCCUCUCAAUCUCUCUUUUAAUUCGAGGAUCCAGAGAGGUGCUAAUGUUCCUUUAUUCCAUAUGUGGGGAGUGUCAUGAUGAAACAAAAACUGUUUAUUCUUACCACGACUGAAAGACCAAAUAAUCAGUGUCUACCUACACAACGAGUUAGAUGUACAGCCAGAGGUGUGAUAUAUAUGCUCUAUCUUUUACAAGCAUGUGCAAAACAACAGGUAUAUUGGCAGCCUUUCAAGUCAUUUGUACCCUAGACUUGCCAUUAGUUGUACCUCAUUCCAUUGCUGAAAUGUCAAUUCACAUUUUCUUAUAGUAAAAUAGUUCUGCACUUCUGUAACCUUGACUCGGUGAAGGUUUAACUUGAAAGUGCAUAUCUAUUUCCUGGUUACACCAUAUUCAAAAUUCCUGACUGAAAUCUGAUAAGAACGGAUACAAAGGUUGUUCGGUAUGAGCCUAAACGUAUGAGCCUACAACUGAACAUGCCAUGACCAUUUUGACUGGGAAAGUGUAUUCUUAUAAGUUUAUGGUAUGAUUAGAAGUUUUGAAGGGUUAACUUAAUUGCUUGUGUUGUAAGUACAAUGUGACUAUCUUUGUAGUUAUUUGGGAACCAUGCGCGGUAUCUAGACAACCUUCAGAAUAUGAGAUUUGCAAGUUAGAGAAGUUUUAUCUCCUGAAGAGAAAGUUAGCAACCUCAGCUAAAAAUAGUCACCUGUAAAUGCCUUCUAGCUUCUAUUUCGAGAAACUUAUUUACACGAGGACAGACUAAUUAUAUGAUAUGACGUAUUCAUAAUUUCAUAUGCCCCUGAUCAUUAUUUCACGUUGGCUGCUGUUUUCCAGCAGUAGGAGGACCCAUGAGAUAGCUAAGUUAAUGAUUUCUUUUUUGUUCUUCAGUUUCGGGUUCAUUGAUUUCUUAUGUUUAGUUGUCAUCUUAUAAAAAAGAGAGGCAUGCUAUCCACAACAAUUUGUACUUAUAUUAGGUAUUGGUGUUAUAUAUAGGGAUCCUAAUUAGCUUACUCCUAAAUCACAAUUGUUACUAUAUCUCAUGAACAAUUAUGCUCUAUACCAAAAUUGUCACUGUCACGUCUGUUAUUGUUCCGAAUUAUCUUUGCAACUAUGUUGAUUAAUUAAUUACUUGUAUUUUCUUAACUAUAAGAAAUAUAGAAUAUUUUGGCCUUCCAUCCACAGUUGCUUCAUGCAGAAGCUGGUAAAAGGAUGAUAUCAUUUGCAACACCAUCAAGAGUAUGGCUUCAACUUUAUUACAUUACUCAAAAUGUUUGCCAGUCACAUCUAUGUUGUGACUAUCUAAAUCAUGAUAGUUGCAGUUCACAACAGGUGUGUUGUGACCAUUAAUUAUGCCUUGCACAUGAAUGACACCUAUGCAUGUGUAAAUGUCAAUAUUUUAGUUAUCAUUGCCAAGGUGGAGCUACCAUGAUUUUCCUUUUUGACGUAUAUGUACGAAUUCAGAUGGGUAACCCACUGUCCAUAAGUUGUUCAUUAUCCUGAAGAUAAAAUGGGUAUAUAUUAAAUAUCAAGGUUGUUAUGGCUGGAAACUUUGAGGUGGUCAUUAAGAUUUCAACUAGAUAAUUUCACACAGCACAUACUGUAUCUUAUAAUCAUAUUUUUGUUUCCACGCCAUGAAUGUUGUAAAGUGGCUGGAGACUUUGAGGUGGUCACUAAGACUUUAUAGUGAGAAUGUUAUUUCCCAUGCAGUGCAAUGACAAAAUACUGAAAGCCGAUGGUGCCUGAAAGCCCAUGGAGUUUUCUUCACAUACAACUAGCUGUGUUGCAAUCAAUAUUAGUACUUCGGUCUGGAAUUUAGCCAUCACCCAGAAUGCCCUUUUAUUCUAACUCAUGGCAUUUUGUAUAUAGUUUGUUAUGCACAUCCUGCAUGGAUCUCUAACUCAACAGAGACCCUUAGAACCAUUACAGUAUCACUGCAUGCUCAUUCUGCACUUUCGUUGCUUAGGAAAACUAAUGGUUCAAACCAUCUUCUUAUCGUUGUAUCCUCCUAGAAAAAUCUUUGGUCACAAGGAUACUUACAUAUAUAUACCUGGAAUCUGAGAUAGAUGCUUGAUGUAAACUGCCAUUAUAGUAGGCAGUGCAGUAAAAGGGCCAGAAUUUAUAUUCUUCUUAAUAAUGCUAAUAUUCACUCAUGAUUUUAUGGUUUUGUUUUCAGACCAUAAUAAAUUUGAAGGAAGAAAUUCCAUUUGGUGCCGAUGACCAAAUCAUACAUAAUAAUAGAUCUAUUUGCUAGCUGGGAAGAAAUUGAAGGGGGCCACCUUUACACGCAAUAGGAAGUACGUGUGAGAGGAAGUAGUGGUCUAACUCUCGGCUCACCAGGAUACAUAUUAUUACAAAAAAAAAAUGGAAGUAGUGGUCUAACUCCCGGCUCACCAGCAUUUGACAAAGAAGAUUGCAUGUCGCCUAUGUUUUUAUCUUAUUAUCAUACUUGAGAUAUGUUGAUGUUUGCAUGUCCUGUAUUACACAUCUCAGGCAUUGCAACUACAGACCACACUUUUUGCUUCUGUUACAUCUGUCCGCUGAUUGCACUUUUUUGGAAGUGGAUUACAGUCAAAGCCUUUGUUCACUACAGAUAUUAUUUGAUUACAUUUUUUUGAACUUACAUAGAAAAAUACUUUGCUCAGAAUUACCGAGCCAAUGCAGUGACUUCUCAUAUGCCAGAUAAUUGUGACACCCAAUAGUGAAAUCAUCUCAUCAUCAAUCUUUUCUCUUCUCUACCAAGAGGUGACCAUGGGCCGACUAAGGGUGUUUGGAGCAGAGAACAUCCUUUUGUGUCCAGAACUAACUUUUAUUGCAGUUGUUUUGCCCACUUCAUGAGACGAAUGUGGACUUGUGAAUCGAGGUUCGUGGUUGCGGUCAUGUGAGAAUUGGGAGAGGCAUGCUUUUCACAUCAAUGUGUAGUUGAGAUAUCAGGUAUAGGUGUUUAAAAAAUCAGGGGUCGUAAUUGGCUCAUUCCUAUACCGCAUUGUAUCUCAUGAACAAUUGUGCUAUGUACCACAAUAUAUUGUCGUUGUUGUUUCACAUCA